AUUGAACGCUGGCGGCAGGCCUAACACAUGCAAGUCGAACGAGUGGCGGACGGGUGAGUAAUGUCUGGGAAACUGCCUGAUGGAGGGGGAUAACUACUGGAAACGGUAGCUAAUACCGCAUACCAUCAGAUGUGCCCAGAUGGGAUUAGCUAGUAGGUGGGGUAACGGCUCACCUAGGCGACGAUCCCGAGCUGGUCUGAGAGGAUGACCAGCCACACUGGAACUGAGACACGGUCCAGACUCCUACGUGAGGCAGCAGUGGGGAAUAUUGCACAAUGGGGUCAAUCUUGUUGCAGCCAUGUCGCGUGUAUGAUGAAGGCCUUCGUGUUGUAAAGUACUUUCAGCGGGGAGGCGUUACCCGCAGAAGAAGCACCGGCUAACUCCGUGCCAGCCGCCGCGGUAAUAC
rnacentral:rRNA from 1 species